rnacentral:rRNA from 1 species
GAGUUUGAUCGUGGCUCAGAUUGAACGCUGGCGGUAUGCUUAACACAUGCAAGUCGAACGGGUAACAGGAGAGAGCUUGCUCUUUUGCUGACGAGUGGCGGACGGGUGAGUAAUGCGUAGGAAUCUGCCUAGUAGUGGGGGACAACGUGUGGAAACGCACGCUAAUACCGCAUACGCCCUACGGGGAAGGACGGGGAGUCUUCGGUACC